CAUUAAAGGAAUAUCAGGCUUUCGAGCCCUAUUCUCAUACCCUGUUUACCUCACCAUGUUGCUUCGGCAGCUCUGCCGGCGGCAGUCAGUGGCCCAGAAGUUGAGAGGCAUGUAAAAAUCCUCUCCCUCGGUCGCUACCCGCCGGUUAUCUGUCAGAGGACCCAAAACUCUUGAAUCUUUGAAGUCUGAGUACUAUAUAAUAGUUAAAACUUUCAACAACGGAUCUCUUGGUUCUGGCAUCGAUGAAGAACGCAGCGAAAUGCGAUAAGUAAUGUGAAUUGCAGAAUUCAGUGAAUCAUCGAAUCUUUGAACGCACAUUGCGCUCCCUGGUAUUCCGGGGAGCAUGCCUGUUCGAGCGUCAUUACAACCCUCAAGCUCUGCUUGGUGUUGGGCUCGCCCUGUAGGGCCUGCCUCAAAGUCAGUGGCGGCACUGUCUGACCCUAAGCGUAGUAAUACUCGUCGCUUUUGGGCUUGGACUGUUGCCCCCAGCAACCCCCACACUUUAAAGGUUGACCUCGGAUCAGGUAGGGAUACCCGCUGAACUUAAGCAUAUCAAUAAGCGGAGGA
rnacentral:rRNA from 1 species